rnacentral:rRNA from 1 species
GACGAACGCUGGCGGCGUGCCUAAUACAUGCAAGUAGAACGCUGAAGGAGGAGCUUGCUCUUCUGGAUGAGUUGCGAACGGGUGAGUAACGCGUAGGUAACCUGCCUGGUAGCGGGGGAUAACUAUUGGAAACGAUAGCUAAUACCGCAUAACAGUAGAUGUUGCAUGACAUUUGCUUAAAAGGUGCAAUUGCACCACUACCAGAUGGACCUGCGUUGUAUUAGCUAGUUGGUGGGGUAACGGCUCACCAAGGCGACGAUACAUAGCCGACCUGAGAGGGUGAUCGGCCACACUGGGACUGAGCCACGGCCCAGACUCCUACGGGAGGCAGCAGUAGGGAAUCUUCGGCAAUGGACGGAAGUCUGACCGAGCAACGCCGCGUGAGUGAAGAAGGUUUUCGGAUCGUAAAGCUCUGUUGUAAGAGAAGAACGAGUGUGAGAGUGGAAAGUUCACACUGUGACGGUAUCUUACCAGAAAGGGACGGCUAAUUACGU